rnacentral:tRNA from 1 species
UGCGGGGUGGAGCAGUUAGUAGCUUGUCAGCCUCAUAAGCUGAAGGUCGAGGGUGCGAAUCCCUCCCCCGCAA